CAUAGCCUCUAGCUAAACAAGUAUUAGAGGUCAUGCCUGCCCAGUGAACAUACAUUCAACGGCCGCGGUAUCCUAACCGUGCAAAGGUAGCGUAAUCACUUGUCCCCUAAAUAGAGACCAGUAUGAACGGCUAAAUGAGGGCUCUCCUGUCUCCUUUGGCCCCCCAAUGAAAUUGAUCUUCUAGUCCAAAAGCUAGAAUAAACCCACAAGACGAGAAGACCCUGUGGAGCUUUAAACGCACGCCGCCAGCAGCCCGCCCAACGGCCCCCGUUUUUGGUUGGGGCGACUACGGAGAAAACAAAACCUCCAUGAACAAGACUGACCGUCUACACAGGCACACACGCCAGAAAUUGACCCAGUAUUGCUGACUAACGAACCAAGUUACCCCAGGGAUAACAGCGCAAUCCCCCUAAAGAGUCCAUAUCGCCAGGGGGGCUUACGACCUCGAUGUUGGAUCAGGACACCCAGGCGGCGCAGCCCCUGCCAAAGGUUCGUUUGUUCAACGAUUAAAGUCCCACGUGAUCU
rnacentral:rRNA from 1 species